rnacentral:rRNA from 1 species
CCCUGCCAUUUGUACACACCGCCCGUCGCACCUACCGAUUGAAUGGUCCGGUGAAGACUCGGGAUUGUGGUUUGGCUCCUUCAUUGGGGCCAGACCGCGAGAACUUGUCUGAACCUUAUCAUUUAGAGGAAGGUGAAGUCGUAACAAGGU